UUCCUACGGGACGCAGCAGUGGGGAAUAUUGCACAAUGGGCGAAAGCCUGAUGCAGCAACGCCGCAUGAAGGAAGAAGGCCUUCGGGUCGUAAACUUCUGUCCUUGGGGAAGAAGUACUGACGGUACCCAAGGAGGAAGCCCCGGCUAACUACGUGCCAGCAGCCGCGGUAAUACGUAGGGGGCAAGCGUUAUCCGGAAUUAUUGGGCGUAAAGAGGACGAAGGUGGCAACCUAAGCGCAGGGUUUAAGGCAAUGGCUCAACCAUUGUUCGCCCGGCGAACCGGGAUGCUUGAGUGCAGGAGAGG
rnacentral:rRNA from 1 species